rnacentral:rRNA from 1 species
CCAAUAGCGUAUAUUAAAGUUGUUGCAGUUAAAAAGCUCGUAGUUGAACUUCGGAAUUUGCUCAUUGGUCAGGCUUAACUGUCUGUACUGGUAGGAUGAAUUCCUACCUUCUGAAGAAUCUUCAUGUCAUUAAUUUGGUGUGGGGAGGAAUCAGGACUGUUACUUUGAAAAAAUUAGAGUGUUUAAAGCAGGCUAACGUCUGAAUACAUUAGCAUGGAAUAAUAGAAUAGGACGGCUUGGUUCUAUUUUGUUGGUUUCUAGGAUCACCGUAAUGAUUAAUAGGGAUAGUUGGGGGCAUUAGUAUUCAAUUGUCAGAGGUGAAAUUCUUGGAUUUAUUGAAGACUAACUACUGCGAAAGCAUUUGCCAAGGAUGUUUUCAUUAAUCAAGAACGAAAGUUAGGGGAUCGAAGACGAUCAGAUACCGUCGUAGUCUUAACCAUAAACUAUGCCGACUAGGGAUCGGACGAAGUUAAUUUUAUAAUGACUCGUUCGGCACCUUACG